rnacentral:rRNA from 1 species
UACGAGGGGAGCAAGCGUUGUUCGGAUUUACUGGGCGUAAAGGGCGCGUAGGCGGCGUGACAAGUCACUUGUGAAAUCUCCGGGCUUAACUCGGAACGGUCAAGUGAUACUGUCGUGCUAGAGUACAGAAGGGGCAACUGGAAUUCUCGGUGUAGCGGUGAAAUGCGUAGAUAUCGAGAGGAACACCUGCGGCGAAGGCGGGUUGCUGGGCUGAUACUGACGCUGAGGCGCGAAAGCUAGGGGAGCGAGCGGG